CAACUGGUGUUUUUUAACACCACCCUUGUUAAAAGAAGUAUUAUUU
rfam:Plasmopara halstedii genome assembly, contig: Scaffold_430